rnacentral:tRNA from 1 species
GCUCGGAUGGUGGAAUUGGUAGACACGUUGGACUUAAAAUCCAAUGGCCGAAUGUGGCCGUGCGGGUUCAAGUCCCGCUCCGAGUACAA